rnacentral:rRNA from 1 species
GACGAACGCUGGCGGCGUGCCUAAUACAUGCAAGUCGAACGCAGUGGGGACGGGUGAGUAACACGUGGGUAACCUCCCAUCAGAGGGGAUAACACUUGGAAACAGGUGCUAAACCGAUACUGAUUGAUGACCCCGGGGUGAUUUGACUAGUUGGUGAGGUACCGGCUCACAAAGGCCACGAUGCAUAGCGGACCGGAGAGGGGGAGCGGCCACACUGGGACGUGGAAACGGCCCAAACGCCUACGGGAGGCAGCAGUAGGGAAUCUUAGGAAAUGGACAAAAGUCUGAACGAGCAACGCCGCGUGAGUGAAGAAGGUUUUCGGAGCGUAAAACACUGUUGUAAGAGAAGCGAUAUCUAACCAGAAAGCCACGGCUAACUACGUGCCAGCAGCCGCGGUAAUAC